GUUGCCAGUCGUCAACAUUCAUUCGUCCAGUUACAGAGAUGGUGCUGCUACUAUCCAAUGACAUUGAUGUAUAGCUUGUAAUUGUAUAUGUGAUGUUAGAAACAUCAGACGGGGAGUGUGCUGUCACAGUUCUUAUUUUUUAUUUAUUUUUGUUUGCUUUUUUGUGUAAUUAUACGGAGUGAAAUAUGUGUAUUAUUCAGAUAUCAGAAAGAGUUAUCCUUCUUUGUAAAUUUUUGAAUUAUCUUCCUUGAGUGGAAAUCUUUUGUGUCAGGAGUUAUCUCCCUCAUUUUCUCGUGCAAGUUUUCAUUCAGUCUGCCAUUAGAGUUCCAUCCAUGAGGAUGUACAUGUAACAUUCUACCUUCUUACGAUUUGUGGCCUAUUACCAUUUAUUUACCUCAUUCGCUCACUCGCUCAUUCGCUUACUCGCUCGUGUAGACUCACUCGCUCACUUAGGCUCACUCACAUAGGCUCACUUUGUCUCACUCACCUAGGCUCAUUCGCUCAUUCACUGAUUGGAAUAUGAAUUCGCUUGUUAAUAAAUAUGGAACCAGU